UACGAAGGGGGCUAGCGUUGUUCGGAAUUACUGGGCGUAAAGCGCACGUAGGCGGACUAUUAAGUCAGGGGUGAAAUCCCGGGGCUCAACCCCGGAACUGCCUUUGAUACUGGUAGUCUCGAGUCCGGAAGAGGGGACUGGAAUUCCCGGUGUAGCGGUGGAAUGCGCAGAUAUCGGAGGAGACACCCGGUGGCGAAGGCGGCUUGC
rnacentral:rRNA from 1 species